ensembl:snRNA U6 U6 spliceosomal RNA
GUGCUCGCUUCGGCAGCAUGUGUACUAAAAUUGGAAUGAUACGAGAAAACAGCAUGGCCCUUGUGCAAGGAUGUCACGCAAAUUCGUGACAUGUUAAAAAAAAAA